GUCACUAGGCUCCCUCUCCACAUCUGGCCCUUGAUUCUUUUCCUCACCCUUUGUCCUCAACAUCCACUCAUUCUCUGCCCUCAGUUGUAAUUCUGCCUGGGUCCCAUCAACUUUAGGGUCACAUUUCUCCUAGUUUGCAAUGUCCUAGUCUGCUUCCCGGAAGCUACCUUUAUCCCUUUAACUUGAUGAUUGUACAGUCACAUGGCACGCAUGUUCCACGUACCAACUUGACAACUCAUGCUUGUUGAGUUCAUGUUGAGGGCCACUGCUUCCCAAGCAUCCCUGACACCUUCAGGACCAUUGACUCAACUUAACAAAGGAUGAACACUCAACCAGCCAGUCUAUGCCGCCCCGCCGCUCAGCUCCAGGAGCCCUCCUACUCUGUCAUCUUUUCCCUCUGCACCACCGUCACGGUGGCCCGCUUCCAAACAGCCCUCCUACACCCGCAUGUCUUGGGGAGAGGUGUCAGGAGAGGAGGAGGACAUCUGACCACUCCCUGAGAAAAUCCAGAAGGAUUAGGACACUCCCACCAAAGAAAAGAAAACAACACCAAAAAAGAGGAAAAAUCCCAGCUUACUUCUGUCAGCAAAGUAUACAAUAAGCUAGAAUACCACGUAAGUCUCCCUAGGAUGUGGCUACAAGGAACCUUUCUUCAAAAUUAAAAUAAUGUUAUAUAAAAGUAGGCAGUGAUAUCUCACAUUUUAUUAGAGUGCUACCCCUUGCAGGUAUUAUUCUGGGGAAGAGACCAGGGAGAAUGAAAUAAAAUCAAACCAUCUGACUCAUCCAAGAGGCACCAAACUUCCAACAGAGCCAGUUUUUGUCAAUCCUUGUUAAGUGAGUGAACAGACCGUGCCAGAACUGACCUUGAACUUAGAGUUUCCGAGCCCAAGCUCAGUUUCCAGCUGUCUGGUUUCAUCUAGCUGGGCUGGGUUCCAGAGGAGCAUCUUUCUUUGGCUCCUCAAUUCUGUGAGCCUUCGGGGAGACCCCACCGUGCCAGGCCUUGUGUACGCACCCACAAGGAUAGCGAUCACUCUGGCUUGUGACACAAGCCCUCAAGAAUAAUCAGAGGGAAAAGUCAGGGAGUCCCUAGGCA
rnacentral:lncRNA from 1 species